rnacentral:rRNA from 1 species
GAUGAACGCUGGCGGCGUGCCUAAUACAUGCAAGUCGAGCGAACAGAUGAGGAGCUUGCUCCUCUGACGUUAGCGGCGGACGGGUGAGUAACACGUGGAUAACCUACCUAUAAGACUGGGAUAAUUUCGGGAAACCGGAGCUAAUACCGGAUAAUAUAUUGAACCGCAUGGUUCAAUAGUGAAAGACGGUUUUGCUGUCACUUAUAGAUGGUUCCGCGCCGCAUUAGCGAGUUGGUAAGGUAACGGCUUACCAAGGCAACGAUGCGUAGCCGACCUGAGAGGGUGAUCGGCCACACUGGAACUGAGACACGGUCCAGACUCCUACGGGAGGCAGCAGUAGGGAAUAUUCCGCAAUGGGCGAAAGCCUGACGGAGCAACGCCGCGUGAGUGAUGAAGGUCUUCGGAUCGUAAAACUCUGUUAUUAGGGAAGAACAAAUGUAUAAGUAACUAUGCACGUCUUGACGGUACCUAAUCAGAAAGCCACGGCUAACUACGUG